GCGGGAAUAACUCAGUGGUAGAGUGCAACCUUCCCAAGGUUGAGGUCGCGAGUUCGAAUCUCGUUUCCCGCU
rnacentral:tRNA from 1 species